GGUAUCUGGUACAAAACAAAGGGAUCUACUGCACGUGUGAUACCGAAGUGGCUGACCUCCGCACUGGAGCUCAGUACAAUACGUACAUGGAUCUUCAAGCCGCCAUUGGAAAAUAUUGCAAAAGCAAUAAUGUGCAACUAAUUAAAGCUAACAGUCGCUCAAUCACUGCAGCGAAUGUGAAUGUACCCACAAACAGGCGAACAUAUCCCGAUAAGUUUGUCUACAGUGCAAUAUCACACAGAUGCAAACACUCGGGCCCAGUAAGAACAACCAGGUCUGGUGUUCGACCCAAACAAAGAUCUUACAAGAUGGACUGCCCUUUUAAAUUAUCUGUCAUAGGGAAUCGUGACUUGGAUGUUCUGGUGGUAAAAAACCUAGUGGAAGAACAUAAUCAUGAGGCAUCAGAGGCUAUAUUCAAAUCCUAUCCAGAGAUGAUACAUGCAGUUCUGGGAUAUCUUGCACAAGAAGCAAACACAUCCUGUCCUAGUGAAGUGUUUGUUUGCCCUCCUUCCUUGCGGUGAAAUGGGAUAACAUAGAUUUCAGCUGGAUGUUUGAGCAGGUACCACUUGCAGAAUACCACUGGGUCCUUCUGCCAAUCUGCACUAGUCAUCACUGGAUACUUAUGGUUGCCAAUAUGAGGACGCAUGAUAUAAGUAUUCUGGAUUCCAUAAAGUCUACAGUGAGAGCUACGAGAUACAUUUCACACUGGCGAAUGCUGUGGCGGUACUCAGUGGUAUGCCGUACUGUGUAUUCCGACAGUGUUAUUGCGAGUACUUCAGGGGAAUUGAAGCUGCUACACUUGUCAAGAAAAUGAAGCACAACGGAGACACUAUGUGCAACCUACCAUUUUGUAGCGAUCCCCAAAAAGAGGCAAAAGAUAAAUCCGUGGGUCCUCUGCAAUGGUUGUGACCGUUGGUGCCAUUUCGUUUGUGCUGGAAUUGAGGAGAAACCGAAAGGCUGAUACAUGUGUCCAAUUUGCUCGCUAGUAUGAACCCUGUGUUGUUUACAUUUGUUACUGGUGAAUUACUGGAUGUUUCAUAAAAUAAUCUGUGACUACAGAACAUUUGCUACUCAGUAAAUAGAAAUACAUGUAACUCUAUAAUUAUUUGCUGCGGGUGUGAUGAUAACCCAACUGUGUUUGAGUGAGUGAGUGAGUUUAGAUUUACGCCCCACUCAGCAAUAUUCCAGCUAUA